AGUAUGCUUGGUAAAAGUCAUCGCCAUUCUCUAAUCUUGAGUACCCAGGGACACGAUACACUGCGGAAGGCUGCAGGGACCUCUGCCCAGGAAAGCCAGGAGCCAGAAAAACUUCAUCUCUUUUACAAGAAACAUUGAGAUUCCUGUAAAAUUAAGAAAUCACACAAUUUGAUGGUCUACAUUAUCUAAAGCAAAUGAGACUUCUAUUUGGAACAAAGACUACCUUGUUGGGAAAUGAGUCUGCAAGUUAAAGUGUUUUCUGGGAUCACUCUAAGCUCCAGUGUCAAGGAGUCAAGUCCUUCAGGAAUUCUCUGCCUCCACUCCCUGUGGCAGAGCUAGAGUGGCUGCCAUGCUUCUGAGCUCAGCCAGCAUCCAGAGAGAGAGUGAGAUACAGCCUCCUCUUCUUGAAGCACCCACUUCUAAACUCUGUGACAGUUUUCUUGGAACUCUGUUAUGUGGAUCUGGAGAUGACAAUGUCACAGCACUCCCCUCUAAGCCUAAAUUCCCCCACACCGAUGAACUAUUAGGAUCCAGUAUCUGCCGGAGGAGCCCCACCUUCUGCUACUAUUAUGUUCUUCAGAUGAGUAGAAGAGAGUGGGGAGGGAGAGAGCAGGAAGAAGAAAGGAAGAAUAAUGUCUUGAAAUUGGACAUGAUGCUGACUUUGAAGAUGCAAGCUUCCACAUCUACAGCCUCAAGGAAACAAAUUCAGCCAACCAACUGAGGGAGCUUUCCUUGUCCUGCCUCAAGAUGAGAUCACAGUCUGCCCAACACCAUGAUUUAGGCCUUGUGACACCUGGUAUGGAAGACCCAGUUAAGUUCUCUCCAAACUCUUGACCCACAGAACCUGUGAGAAAAUAUAUGGAUAUUAUUUUAAACUGCUAAA
rnacentral:lncRNA from 1 species